UUUCACUGUGGUCAGUCUUAGAGAUUUCUUUGCAGCAUUGAUGAUUUGGGAUAAAAUGGAGAGUAUACUUGGCAGAUCAGGAUGGGAGACCUUACAAUGGUUUUGAUAUCACUGGCAUCCAUGGCCUGGGAAAACAUGGGUUUCACUUUACAAGACUGAGGAAGAGAGAAUUUUAAAGAAAGAAAGCCUAUGUUUGGAAGAUCAAGAUGGGAAUGUAGGAAGACCUGGUUAAAACCUUUGCAGGAAUGGGAACUUGUACCAAAUGAGGCAGAAGACUCGAGGCUCUAGAGAAAUCUUGUGAUGAAAUUGAAACUUGUGAUAGAUAAAGCUGCAGAAUUGUGCUACUACUUUGAUACAUAUACAAAGUCUUUAAAACAGCUUUAGCGUCCAAGAAAUAAGAAAAGGAAUGUAUUUUGUUGUUUGUUCCACCUUUCGUGCCCCUCAGGUAACCAGGGUCUUUCUACAACUUUCAGUUUGCCAGAAUUAACCAGUGGAAUUAACCAUCCAGCCCUCCUGGUUACUCAAGCUCUCAACUUUCCCAUCCAUCCACUCUCCUCUGAAAUAUGAUCCACAGCAGGCACAUUAGUUAACUUUCAGUUUGGAAAUGAUCUAUAGACUUAUUCCAUUAUAAUGAGAAUGAUGAGUAAGAUUGUUCUAAACUGGUACUGAAUUUAAAGGGAAGAAAAUAAAUUAUUCGAAGAAAGGAAAACUUAAUGGUAUUAUAUUCUGAAAUGGGGAGUGAGGAGGUUGAGAGAUAUUUAUAGUGUUGCAUGGACCUUACAUAUGGCACUUAAAUCACAAGUAAGCCUUGCUCAUUCUCCAAUGUGUGAGAAUGAUUCUUAAUUCUUUGUUUAUUUAAGUACUGCACAUUAAGCAGGACUAUUUCCCAUUAGCCAGACCAUGCAUUAUGGGUGGUGAAGCUAUAGCCAUACCACCCUAAAGAACAAAAUUCAAGAAUAAAGUUUUCAUGCACUCUAAGCGUAUUUUCUGGAUAAUUAGAAAAUGUUCCACUGCUUCAAAGACCUCCUAUAUAAUACACAGUUAAGUGAUUAUCUUGGAGCUUAUUUUGGAGUAUUAUUACCUUUGAGAAAGCAUUGUUAUUGGGCACUUUUUUCUAGCAGACAUUAAUGCGUAUAAUUAAAAACAUACAAUUUACAAUUCAACCUCUCUGCAGGACAUCUAUGAAACCAUUUAUGGGUUGUUUUUCCUUGUCCUUCUAGGUGUUGCUAACUGUGUGUUCAUAGUAAUGAGAAGAAAGUUAUUUUUAGGUUGGCAUAAGUGUUUUGGUUGCUCUAAACUAAAAAGCCUUAUUUAGAAUUUGUAUACACUACUACGGUACAUUGUGUUUUAUACAAAGCUAAUUGCUUUCCUAAGUUUUGCCAUUAUCCAUUUUUUUUUCUAAUAAGCCUUUUCCCACUAAAGAAAUGAAAAUGGAGUAGAUUUAUAUUGCUGGUUGGAAAAAAAACAAAAUGUUCAAAGAAAAGCAAUGUAUUAAAAACAUUUUCCCACCACGACCACCCCAGUUCAAAGGGAUUUUGCAUCUUCAUCUAUUUUGGAAAUAAGAGAGAAAAUACAUGUGUUCUAUAUAUGCUCAUAUAAUCAAUGAGAUGACCCAAAUGAUCAUUAUCUGCCUGCAUAUUUGCAAAGACAGUGGAUGAGAGAAAUUUUAGCGUAACUCUUCUGCUCAUAAGUAUUCCAAUAUUCAAAAUAAUUGUUAGGUAUUCUUAUUAAGCACUUACCUAUGCCCUCAUCUCUGUUGGUUGCUGAACAAAGCAACAUUAACGCCCCAUGAACAUUGUACUUAGCAGCUUACUAUCUAAAAUAGUAAAAUGAGAAGCCAUUGGUUCAAUAGUUGCUUGAAGUCUUGCCAUCAAGUUUCAAGCCCAAUUUAUCCUGACAAAUGAAUAAUAAAUUGAUUAUAAAACCCAAACCACUGUCCCCAGGCCAUUGAACAUUUAAUAGUAUAUGGAGAUGUGGCUCUAAAUAG
rnacentral:lncRNA from 1 species